UACGGAGGGUGCAAGCGUUGUCCGGAAUCACUGGGCGUAAAGGGCGCGUAGGCGGCUCGGUAAGUAGGGGGUGAAAUCCUGCGGCUUAACCGCAGGGCUGCCUUCUAAACUGUCGAGCUUGAGCACGGUAGAGGCAGAUGGAAUUCCCGGUGUAGCGGUGGAAUGCGUAGAGAUCGGAAAGAACACCAACGGCGAAAGCACUCUGCUGGGCCGACACUGACACUGAGAGACGAAAGCUAGGGGAGCGAAUGGG
rnacentral:rRNA from 1 species